rnacentral:tRNA from 1 species
UCCCCAGUGGCGCAAUAGGUUAGCGCGCUGUACUUAUAAUGCGGAGGUUGUGAGUUCGAGCCUCACCUGGGGAA